rnacentral:rRNA from 1 species
AGUGAACGCUGGCGGUAGGCCUAACACAUGCAAGUCGAACGGCAGCACAGUAAGAGCUUGCUCUUACGGGUGGCGAGUGGCGGACGGGUGAGGAAUACAUCGGAAUCUACUUUUUCGUGGGGGAUAACGUAGGGAAACUUACGCUAAUACCGCAUACGACCUACGGGUGAAAGCAGGGGAUCUUCGGACCUUGCGCGAUUGAAUGAGCCGAUGUCGGAUUAGCUAGUUGGCGGGGUAAAGGCCCACCAAGGCGACGAUCCGUAGCUGGUCUGAGAGGAUGAUCAGCCACACUGGAACUGAGACACGGUCCAGACUACUAAGGGAGGCAGCAGUGGGGAAUGUGAGACAAUGGGCGCAAGCAUGAUCCAGCCAGACCGCGUGGGUGAAGAAGGCCUUCGGGUUGUAAAGACCUUUUGUUGGGAAAGAAAAGCAGCAGGUUAAUACCCAGCUGUUCUGACGGUACCCAAAGAAUAAGCACCGGCUAACUUCGUG